rnacentral:lncRNA from 1 species
AAUAAAUUUUCUUUUAGAAUUAAUAAUGAUUUCUUAAAUCAAAUAAAUGAAUAGAGCAACAAGAAUGUCCAAAUAGAUCAAGACAAACAAAGUGUAAAUGAUCAACAAAAAUUUUUAUUUUUAUUAAGUUCCAAAAUGAUUUCUUCUUUAAUAUUCCAAUAAUGUUUUCUUCCUCUAUUUUUCAUAGUUAAUGCCAGAAGAUUCAUUUAUCUUGAUACUUUCUCUUUUUUUUUCCAAAUUAUGUAUAUUUAAUUAAUUUUGAGAAAAAUAAGUUUUACAUAUUUCUCUCCCUUAGUGUUAUGGACAAGGCAC